rnacentral:rRNA from 1 species
GACGAACGCUGGCGGCGUGCUUAACACAUGCAAGUCGAACGGAGCGGCGAACGGGUGAGUAACCCGUGAGUAACUGCCCCCCUCUCUGGGAUACCAGUUGGAAACGGCUGCUAAUACCGGCUAGUGGGGGAUGACUCGCGUCCUAUCAGCUUGUUGGUGGGGUAGUGGCCUCCCAGGGCGACGACGGGUAGCCGGCCUGGGCGGGCGACCGGCCACAUUGGGCUGAGAUACGGCCCAAACUCCUACGUUAGGCAGCAGUGGGGAAUAUUGCACAAUGGGGGAAACCGUGAUGCAGCAACGCGCGUGCGUGAUGACGGCUUUCGGGUUGUAAACCGCUUUCAGCCAUGACGCGGUAGUGGCAGAAGAAGCACCGGCUAACUACGUGCCAGCAGCCGCGGUAAUUC